rnacentral:lncRNA from 1 species
ACUGUUUUCGUUUAAGAUAAAAUGAAAUUAAAACUAAGUGGUAAAAUGAUCACUUUCUGUUUGUCAGAAGCUAUGAGGUACUGAGUGUUAAUCAAAUUAAUGAUGUAAUAUAUCCGUUUAUACUACAGUGUUUAAUCAUAAAUUCUUUAAUUUCAUUUUGCAAUAGUAUUGCUGAAUAAUAUUUUAUAUAACAGAGCAACAGGAACAGAAGGUUAAAAAGUGAUAAAGAAAAAAUUCUUAGUGUCUGACAAAUGUAAAGAAAUGUCAGAAAUUAAGUGUUUUUGAUAAGAAACGGGAUUCUAGACGACUGGUAGUUUUUAUUUUACAGUAGGAUUUAUAAGAAUUUCAUUCAAUUUUAUACACGUUACAAAGUAAGAAUGCAGAGCUUUCUAAAUGAAACUGUCCUAAUUGUGUUUAUGAUUUGUUUGGAUGUUACAACAUCUUUAAUAAAACCAGGG